ACAGCGGUUGUUGUCCAAUGAGGAAGAGAAGAACAAAGCUAUCAUUCAGGAAGUUUGCUUUAUGAAAAACUUUCAGGUCACCCCAACAUAGUCCAGUUCUGCUCUGCUGCAUCUAUAGGGAAAGAAGAAUCAGACACAGGACAAGGAGAGUUCCUUCUGCUUACAGAAUUGUGUAAAGGACAACUGGUGGAAUUCUUAAAGAAAGUGGAACCCAAAGGGCCAAUCUCCUGUGACACAGUCCUGAAGAUCUUUUAUCAGACCUGCCGAGCAGUCCAGCAUAUGCAUAAACAGAAGCCACCUAUUAUCCAUAGAGAUUUAAAGGUGGAGAACUUGCUUAUUAGUAACCAAGGGACAAUUAAACUUUGCGACUUCGGUAGUGCUACAACAGUAGCUUACUAUCCUGACUACAGCUGGUCUGCACAAAAGAGAGCACUAGUUGAAGAAGAGAUCACCAGGAAUACAACGCCAAUGUACAGGACACCAGAGAUGAUAGAUUUAUAUUCAAAUUUUCCAAUCAGUGAAAAGCAGGACAUUUGGUUCUAGACUUAUUUUCCACUGUGAAAGGCAAUAAUUAACUUUCUUCUAUAAUCUACGGAGCUAUUACUUUGAUAGAGCUUACCACCACAGAGUCUUCAAAGUUCUUCAAAUUUGAAUUUUCCCUUUAUGCUAUGCAUGUAAACCUUGGACAACAUAUUGCUAAAGUUAUGUAAAACUGAUUACAUCUAGGUUUUACAUAUGUGUAGCAAAGAUGUCAAUAAAGUUGCAUCAUUCAUGUUUUGU
rnacentral:lncRNA from 7 species